rnacentral:rRNA from 1 species
UACAGAGGUCCCAAGCGUUGUUCGGAUUCACUGGGCGUAAAGGGCGCGUAGGCGGCUUGGCAAGUGGAUGGUGAAAUCCCUCGGCUUAACCGAGGAACUGCCGUCCAAACUGCUUUGCUUGAGACCGGGAGAGGUGAGUGGAAUUCCCAGUGUAGCGGUGAAAUGCGUAGAUAUUGGGAGGAACACCAGUGGCGAAGGCGGCUCACUGGACCGGUACUGACGCUGAUGCGCGAAAGCGUGGGGAGCAACGGG